UCAGGCGACUAUGGCGCCGGGGCUACACCUCUUCCCAUCCCGAACAGAGAAGUUAAGUCCGGUUGCGCCGAUGGUACUGCAUUUUGUGGGAGAGUAGGAAGUUGCCGAUU
rnacentral:rRNA from 1 species